GUGGCCAUAGCUCAGUUGGUUAGAGCACGAGGUUGUGAUCCUCGGGGUCGCGGGUUCGAGUCCCGUUGGCCACC
rnacentral:tRNA from 4 species